CACCCAACCACCCGUCUCACAACCCAUAUUGUGGACGGUACAACAACGAGCAGUGGGCCUAGAUACGUUGCUGUACUGAGGAUAAAACUGUCCUCUCUGAACCCACUGACAGAUGAUUACAUCAGAAACGUGGUUUUACAACAGCUCCGCGAGGAACUGAUCAGACAAGGGCUGCCAGGGGACUUCGCGCUACGCCUGAGCCACUCAUGGGAUCAGUUCCUGAGGGAGGAACAGGAAUUCAUUCUUCACUCCUACUUGUCUUGUCUUCCUGGUUCUGAUUCUGCAGAAAGUUCUUCUGAAGAAGAAGUGGUUCCUUAUAAUGACAGAAUAUGGUUGAUUUGUACUAAUCUCUUGAAGAAGAAGUGGUUGAAUGACUGUAAAUGUUUUUAUGUCUAGAAGAAGAAAUAGAACAUAAAUAUGAUUGGUAACAGAGUUAGACUGGGGUUCUUUCCUGUUUGGUAAUGUACAGAGGUAGACUGGGGUUCUUUCCUGUUUGGUAAUGUACAGAGGUAGACUGGGGUUCUUUCCUGUUUGGUAAUGUACAGAGGUAGACUGGGGUUCUUUCCUGUUUGGUAAUGUACAGAGGUAGACUGAGUUCUUUCCUGUUUGGUAAUGUACAGAGGUAGACUGAGGUUCUUUCCUGUUUGGUAAUGUACAGAGGUAGACUGAGGUUCUUUCCUGUUUGGUAACGUACAGAGGUAGACUGGGGUUCUUUCCUGUUUGGUAAUGUACAGAGGUAGACUGGGGUUCUUUCCUGUUUGGUAAUGUACAGAGGUAGACUGGGGUUCUUUCCUGUUUGGUAAUGUACAGAGGUAGACUGAGGGUCUUUACUGUGUCAAGAAUAGUUGGUUGAGGCUCCGUUUUCUGUGACAUUUUAGUGACAGAGGACACAGGUAGGGGGAACCCACUUGUAAACACCCACACACACACUCAGGAAGACGUUUCACUUUCACUCACACAUGGAGCAUAAAGAAGAAUGAACAAUGAGGUUGAAUUGACAUUGUGAAAGAGAAGAAAUGAAUUGACUGACUAAAGAGAAGAAGAAAUUAAUUGACAUUGACUAAAGAGAAGAAGAAAUGAAUUGACACUGACGAAAGAGAAGAAGAAAUGAAUUGACAUUGACUAAAGAGAAGAAGAAAUGAAUUGACAUUGACUAAAGAGAAGAAGAAAUGAAUUGACACUGACGAAAGAGAAGAAGAAAUGAAUUGACACUGACUAAAGAGAAGAAGAAAUGAAUUGACAUUGACGAAAGAGAAGAAGAAAUGAAUUGACAUUGACUAAAGAGAAGAAAUGAAUUGACACUGACGAAAGAGAAGAAGAAAUGAAUUGACAUUGACUAAAGAGAAGAAGAAAUGAAUUGACAUUGACUAAAGAGAAGAAGAAAUGAAUUGGGAAUUGAUUGAAAUCCUAAUUAAAGGUUAAACAUAUUAAAUGUUAAAGGUUGAAAACAUUGGGAGAUAUUAAAGGUGUUAAAAUAAUGCAGGUGAGGAGAGUUAUAAUGUAGUUUUAAGUUGUGAAUCAUAUAGACUGUGUUUCAUUCUGCUUAUUAGAGGACAACGCCUUAGGAGGUUGAUAACGAGACAUUAUAAUGGUCAAAUGUUAUCAUGUUUAAAAUAUUGAAUUAUUAAGAUAUAACUGGAGUAAUAAAUUAGGUUGUAGUAAGAUUAGAAUUGAGUAAAGGUAGUUUGAAAAAUGUAUGUUUGUUCUAGAACAUUCUAGGAGGAAUCCUUAAGGUUACCUCAUUGAUAGAAGUGUUCUAGAACAUUCUAGGAGGAAUCCUUUAGGUUACCUCAUUGGUAGAAGUGUUCUAGAACAUUCUAGGAGGAAUCCUUUAGGUUACCUCAUUGGUAGAAGUGUUCUAGAACAUUCUAGGAGGAAUCCUUUAGGUUACCUCAUUGGUAGAAGUGUUCUAGUAGCUGUUAGUUUUUUAGACACCAACUGAGGAACUGAGCAUCCCGAGGGGGGAGACAAAAAUCUGUUUAUAAGUUGUAGAAGGUAAGAACAUAUUUUUCUUGUUAAUAAAUACAGUGCUUCUCAUGAAAUUGUGAAAAAAUAUAUAUAAUAUUGGUACACCCUAAUAAGGGUUUAGUUAAGGGUUUAGUUAAGGGCGCUCAAUUUAAUCCAAGGAAAUGUUUUGCUUAUCAUCGAUUGGUGAUAUUGAUUUGUGAUUGGUUGAUCGAGGGUUUUUUAUGCCUGUUUCUGUCAUUUUGAAUAAACUUGCUUUAUUGUUCUGAAA